UACGUAGGGCGCAAGCGUUGUCCGGAAUUAUUGGGCGUAAAGAGCUCGUAGGCGGCCUGUUGCGUCCGCUGUGAAAGCCCGGGGCUUAACCCCGGGUCGGCAGUGGAUACGGGCAGGCUAGAGGUAGGUAGGGGAGAAUGGAAUUCCCGGUGUAGCGGUGAAAUGCGCAGAUAUCGGGAGGAACACCGGUGGCGAAGGCGGUUCUCUGGGCCUUACCUGACGCUGAGGAGCGAAAGCGUGGGGAGCGAACAGG
rnacentral:rRNA from 1 species